GGCGAACGCUGGCGGCGUGCUUAACACAUGCAAGUCGAACGGAAAGGCCCUGCUUUUGUGGGGUGCUCGAGUGGCGAACGGGUGAGUAACACGUGAGUAACCUGCCCUUGACUUUGGGAUAACUUCAGGAAACUGGGGCUAAUACCGGAUAGGAGCUCCUGCUGCAUGGUGGGGGUUGGAAAGUUUCGGCGGUUGGGGAUGGACUCGCGGCUUAUCAGCUUGUUGGUGGGGUAGUGGCUUACCAAGGCUUUGACCGGUAGCCGGCCUGAGAGGGUGACCGGCCACAUUGGGACUGAGGUACGGACCAGACUCGUACGGGGGGCAGCAGUGGGGAGUAUUGCACAGUGGGAGGACGCCUGAUGAAGCAACCCCGCGUGCGGGAUGACGGCCUUCGGGUUGUAAACCGCUUUCGCCUGUGACGACGCGUGAGUGACGGUAAUGGGUAAAGAAGCACCGGCUAACUACGUG
rnacentral:rRNA from 1 species